rnacentral:rRNA from 1 species
GACGAACGCUGGCGGCGUGCUUAACACAUGCAAGUCGAACGGAAAGGCCCUGCUUUUGUGGGGUGCUCGAGUGGCGAACGGGUGAGUAACACGUGAGUAACCUGCCCUUGACUUUGGGAUAACUUCAGGAAACUGGGGCUAAUACCGGCUAGGAGCUCCUGCUGCAUGGUGGGGGUUGGAAAGUUUCGGCGAUUGGGGAUGGACUCGCGGCUUAUCAGCUUGUUGGUGUGGUAGUGGCUUACCAAGGCUUUGACGGGUAGCCGGCCUGAGAGGGUGACCGGCCCCAUUGGGACUGAGAUACGGCCCAGCCUCCUACGGGAGGCAGGAGUGGGGAAUAUUGCACUAUGGGCGGAAGCCUGAUGCAGCAACGCCGCGUGCGGGAUGACGGCCUUCGGGUUGUAAACCGCUUUCGCCUGUGACGAAGCGUGAGUGACGGUAAUGGGUAAAGAAGCACCGGCUAACUACGUG